rnacentral:tRNA from 1 species
GCCUAGCUGGCUCAGUCAGAAGAGCAUCAGACUCUUGAUCUUGGAAUUGUGAGAUUGAGCCCCACAUUGGGCA